rnacentral:misc_RNA from 1 species
GAUGAAGAACGCAGCGAAAUGCGAUAAGUAAUGUGAAUUGCAGAAUUCCGUGAAUCAUCGAAUCUUUGAACGCACAUUGCGCCCGCCAGUAUUCUGGCGGGCAUGCCUGUCCGAGCGUCAUUUCAACCCUCGAACCCCUCCGGGGGGUCGGCGUUGGGGAUCGGCCCUUUCACCGGGUGCCGGCCCCUAAAUACAGUGGCGGUCUCGCCGCAGCCUCUCAUGCGCAGUAGUUUGCACACUCGCACCGGGAGCGCGGCGCGCCCUCGUCCGUAAAACACCCCAAACUUCUGAAAUGUUGACCUCGGAUCAGGUAGGAAUACCCGCUGAACUUAAGCAUAUCAAUAAGCGGAGGA